rnacentral:lncRNA from 1 species
AUUGGUUCUAUUUUCUUGUAUUUUUUUUUUCAUUUUAUUUGCUUCAUAACUUAAACCAAGUCUCCUCUAGUCUUAGAUAUUAUUUCUUAAUUUCGUGCUGAUAGGCAUGCUUAUAAGAACUGGAGAGGUAAUUUAUUGGAAUGAACUGACUGGCUCCCCGCCCUCCCUUCCCUUUUUGACAUGAAUUUUACUACUUCACAGAUGAAGAAUGAUGUUACAAAGUUACCAUGGUGACGCUGACAAAUACCACUAAACUGAUUAUGACUUAGAAGUAACUUUCUCCUGCUGCUCUGAUCUGAUAGAUGGUUGCUCUAUGAUGUGUUCUGACAUGGGGUCUGGUUUUUGGGGAUCUGUUACUUUGGCACUAUUCUUGUUUGCCUCUUAGUGUACUAUACCUCAGCCUUAUUUGAAAUACAGAAGUCUAAUUGAAGAAUAGUCCUAGGAAAAUACAUAAAAUGAUUUGUUUUAUAAUUCAUCCCCCAUGUCCAGUUUGGUUAGCUUGUUAUGCAAUAUAAGUGAAGUAUCAGGUUUUUUUUCUCCUGUGCCCAUUUUUAUCAUUAAAAUGAACACAAAAUGUGCAUUCUCUUUUUGUUUCAUACUUACCGGGAUGUUGAGUGUUUUUAAAUUGUAGCUGAUAAUAUAUUUUUCCAUUCCUUAAAGUCACCACACCUUGAUGAAAUCUUUAUAGUCUCCAUGAUUCAGCAAUCUACAAAAAAUACUACAAGUAAAAUGUUGAGCCUUUAUUGUUCCAUUAUCUAAAUUCCUCAGGAGUCAGAGUUCUUCACACAGUUGAGACUUAGUUUAUGUAGCCAGGUGACGGACGACUGAGCGGACAGCAGCACGCUCAGCAGCUUGUGACAGGCUAACGUGCCGUGUGUCAGGAGCAGAGCAUAUAUAUAAAAAACAGAGACACCAUAUUUUCAACUUUCUUUUAAAUACAAAUUGAGUAUAUUUUCCUAUUUUAUAUCAAGUAGCUAAAUUAUGACAGUUGUGUGGAGAAACCACAGAGCUGCUUUGACAGAUACAAUCUUUUUGGUGCUCCAUCUGUUCAAAGUUGAAAAGUUGAUUUUCUUUUUGAAAGAGACAAACUUCAUCAUUGCCUCUGAUUUCAGUAGAAUAAUGGUUUGAUAUUGGACAGUGACUUCCUGCAUGGAUAAAUCAGAGAUGAAGUAGUCAUGUUACAUGUUGAGACCCACCUAUUGCCCUCUGACUCGUAUGGCAGUCUCUGCAUCCCUUGGGGAUGGCAGAAGAGUUUCAUUCUGGUUUCUGUUUGAAAUGAAGAGAACCCCUUAUUCUCUGUGUUUGAAACAAAUGAGUGAAGUGUAAUUCUAGAAAAGUCCAAAGUAGACUAAGUUGGGCAGAGAUAUUAUGAUGAAAAAGUAUUUUAAACGUAAGAUGUUGUGCUUUGUGAAUAUGUAAGUAUAACAUAAAGAUUUCUUCCAUCCCACCUAUCCCCUUCCUUUAAAAUAAACCAUAGUUUACAAUUGGUAGAUCUGUCUAUAUAUAAAUAUAUAUUAAAGAGCAAAUAUAUAUAUUUAAAAAAAGAUCACCUAAAUCUGCUUUAUUAGACAGUAGUUCACUGUUGCGUAGAAACUGGACGUGGCUUUACAUUCUUAAUGUGCUUUAUUUUCCUCAAGAUAGGACCUUAUCUUGAAACAGAAUUUCCUUUAUUACUUAAAUCAUUUAUGUAUAUCUGGUAAAUUAUGACCAAAUUUUUGUUAGAUUGCACACAGUAAAUUGAAAUACACAUUUGGUACACUACGGAAUUGUUGUGCUUUUGUUUGGUUUCAGUUGGAAACAGGUUCGAUGGAGAUGACUUUAUUACUGUUAAUUUAAAUAGUCUAUAAUUGUCCGUUGCCUUUUAUGUCGUGUUGUGACAGAUUUGGCUAUAUUUUUAGUCAUCUGAAAUAUACUUUAAAAAGUUUGUUUUUAGGUAAUCCAAAGGAAAAAUGUUUAUACUCUUGAAUAUAUAUUUGCCUCAGCCUAUAUUAAAGUUUCUUUGAAGUAAACACUUUACCAGAAACAGAAUUGACAGAUUUUUCUACUUGCUGACUGCCUAAGUUAUUUUGUUUCAUGGUCUUGAGAAUUGCCUUUUCUCUAGACCUUUUUUUAAAAGUAGUUUUAGUACUAAGGUAUACUACUGGACGCUCCUAUUUUUUUAAGUAUAUUCCUUUUCUGACAGUACAACUUCAGGAAGUUGAUAAAUCUCUAAGAAGUUUUGAUUGGUCUCAGAAAGGUAAUGGAUUGAAUACUCAGAAUUUUGUCUGAAAGUCUGGCAGAGUUGUACAUUUGGUGAAGUUUUUCAUGUAAUUUAUAUUUUAAAUAAAAUAUUUUUAGAGUUUUUAAUUUUAAUGAAGGGGAAGAACAUACACUUUCAUAUUCCACAGUGGUAAUGAUACUAUGUCAUAGGUUCAGAUCAUGUGUUAUUCUCCCAGACAGUUUCUUCCAUAUGGUCUCUCAUUUGUCAAGGUUCUUGACUCAAUUUUUUUACUAGACAAGUUGCUAAAUUUUAGCACCCUACAAGAGCUCUGUGUGUGUGUGUGUGUGUGUGUGUGUGUGUGUGUGUGUGUGUAGUGCUGGAAGAGGAAACUGGACAAUAGCUAGUAGCUGAAUUUGGGGGCAAAUGCUAUUUGGCUUAAGUAGAGCCAUCCUAAUAAAGAGUGAGUUAAUUCAUUGCAGAAAAACUCAAGCACAGUAAGUACACAGUGCAUAUUAGUUGUUUAAUAACAAAUGUGAACCAAGAGAAGAAGUAAAAGCUGGUAGGAAGGGAUAAAUCAGGGAAGUGAGGGGCCGGGACUUGCAAAGGGCCCCAAGGAUGAGGAGUGGGUGUGGGAGGCCUGACAGGAAGGAAGCUCUGGGAAACAUGGAGUAAGAGAUGUAGUUCUUUGGUUUAUGACUCAAACUUUCUGGUAUGCCCACACUUUUGUGUUGUCUGCCUUACUUUAACCUAUAAGGUAGGUGCUAUUCUAUUUUACAAAUAAGGAAAGGCUCAGAGAGAUUCAGACACUUGCCUAAAUGACCGCAGCUUUCUGUGGAGCGGGGAUUAGUCAGGUCUGGUUCGAAGCCCUGAUUUCCUCCCUGUGAGAUGCUCUGUUAGGAGUCCUGUUCUCUUUGGAAGUUGCUUUUGUCACUUUUGACUCAAGCACACCUCACUGCCAUCCUCUGUGAGUGGCUGGGAUAGUUUCACUUAAUUUUAAAAGGAUGGUUUUACAAUAUGAAGAAGUAGAUAGAAGCCCCAGCUUGUGUGCCGUUCACACCCGGAUCCUUAAGCUUAACUAUGGUACCCAAUCUACACAGUUAGAACUAACAGGUGUUUUCUUAGUUUAGGAUUUAAAGUAGGAUUAUUUAUUUUGUUUCUUCCCUAUCUGCUGUAUCCCAGUCUUCAAGUGAAGUUGAACUAGGUAGUUUAAAACAUGUUAGGGAUAAGCACACUUUGAAAGAUGUUUUCUUGCCCUGAAUUUGAGGGCACUGGGCAGUAAAUUUGGAAUACACUAGCUAUUGAGAACAAAAUUUGGGGGUUAAGAAAGGGAUGAUUGAGGCCAUUAUGAUCUGGGAGAAGCAGCAUCCUAAACACUGUAAACAACUCUUCUGCCUGCUGUUUGUAAAAGCUCUCUGGCAAGAUCUUUUACAAAGACCAAUUUUCUUUUUUAAAUGUAAUUUACCUACCUAAUAUUUAAAUGUCCUGAGACAUGUAUGUAAACUUCCAAAACCUGUUUGUCUGUGUAUUUAGAAAAUACACAAGAAUCUUUAUCAAACAUAAAAUAUAAACUUGUGAGC